rnacentral:rRNA from 1 species
CUCAGAACGAACGCUGGCGGCAUGCCUAACACAUGCAAGUCGAACGAGACCUUCGGGUCUAGUGGCGCACGGGUGCGUAACGCGUGGGAAUCUACCCUUGGGUUCGGAAUAACUCAGAGAAAUUUGAGCUAAUACCGGAUGAUGUCGCAAGACCAAAGAUUUAUCGCCCAAGGAUGAGCCCGCGUAGGAUUAGCUUGUUGGUGAGGUAAAAGCUCACCAAGGCGACGAUCCUUAGCUGGUCUGAGAGGAUGAUCAGCCACACUGGGACUGAGACACGGCCCAGACUCCUACGGGAGGCAGCAGUGGGGAAUAUUGGACAAUGGGCGAAAGCCUGAUCCAGCAAUGCCGCGUGAGUGAUGAAGGCCUUAGGGUUGUAAAGCUCUUUUACCCGGGAUGAUAAUGACAGUACCGGGAGAAUAAGCCCCGGCUAACUCCGUG